AUGCAUUGCAGUUCACAGCACCUGGUCACCUUUCAGACAAACCACCUUACUUACUUCCUAUUCUACAGCUGCGGAUUUCCUAUGCAUAGAAUCCUCCUCUGGGACUCACCAUACUGUGUGUGCAGGCUCCACUGGGCCCUCCAUGUUGCCUUGAGAGAUCUGAGGACUGGUGCGACAAUACUGAUACACCUGUUUCUCCUGCUGCAACUGGUAAAGUCCUUUGUCUCUGACUCAAGAGUCCCACGUCAGCAUCCAUGGAACUGCGACAGGCUUACUUAUCAACUUGUAUGGUUUUUUGUUGGAAGUUAUCCUGCUUCUGCGAUGUCAAAUUUAUUGAAAUUUGAAGCUGAAAGUAUGAUUCUGAGACAAGGACACGUACCCUUGAAAUACUACUUGGUUCGUGCUGGACAUUUAAAGGUCAUGUCAAGUAAUAUAAGCAUGAACAAAAAUACCAACUCUGAAAUUUUAAGUGCGUUUGGAGAAGGCAACUUCAUAGGGGAUUUUUAUGGUAUUCUUGUACAGACAGUACAACAAUAUCAAGAAACAUGCAACUUCCUAAGAAUUGAGUCAGGACAGAGCUGUGGCUAAGGGAUCAGUUCAACUCUAGGAAGCUCUCAGAGAGCAGCUUCAACCCAUCACCAGAG
ensembl:lncRNA